AUGGAGCGGAGGCAGGGACUCUCUGGGGGUUGAAUCAUGAUCGGACGGAGGACUCUCCGCCUUCUAUUUUUCUUUUCUGGGAAAGACAGGGCGGCUGGCCCAUGUGGCCUGCCCGGUCAUCGGAUUCUGGAACUCCGACGAUGCUCUUUCCAGCCGCACCGAUGCCUACGGCUGCUGCUGCAUGGCCUGCACUGCUUCGGUGAG
rnacentral:lncRNA from 1 species